GUGCUGUGAGCUCGAUGAGUAGGGCGGGACACGUGGUAUCCUGUCUGAAUAUGGGGGGACCAUCCUCCAAGGCUAAAUACUCCUGACUGACCGAUAGUGAACCAGUACCGUGAGGGAAAGGCGAAAAGAACCCCGGCGAGGGGAGUGAAAAAGAACCUGAAACCGUGUACGUACAAGCAGUGGGAGCCCCACCACUAAGCCAGUGGUGAACUCCACAUCCGCAUCCUUUGCUGAGGAUACGGUUAACGGAGCGAAAGCGACGUUCAACCGCAAAACAAGCAGAGGGGGCUUAGUGGUGGGGUGACUGCGUACCUUUUGUAUAAUGGGUCAGCGACUUAUAUUCUGUAGCAAGGUUAACCGAAUAGGGGAGCCGGAGGGAAACCGAGUCUUAAUUGGGCGUUAAGUUGCAGGGUAUAGACCCGAAACCCGGUGAUCUAGCCAUGGGCAGGUUGAAGGUUGGGUAACACUAACUGGAGGACCGAACCGACUAAUGUUGAAAAAUUAGCGGAUGACCUGUGGCUGGGGGUGAAAGGCCAAUCAAACCGGGAGAUAGCUGGUUCUCCCCGAAAGCUAUUUAGGUAGCGCCUCGUGAAUUCAUCUCCGGGGGUAGAGCACUGUUUCGGCUAGGGGGCCAUCCCGGCUUACCAACCCGAUGCAAACUGCGAAUACCGGAGAAUGUUAUCACGGGAGACACACGGCGGGUGCUAACGUCCGUCGUGAAGAGGGAAACAACCCAGACCGCCAGCUAAGGUCCCAAAGUCAUGGUUAAGUGGGAAACGAUGUGGGAAGGCCCAGACAGCCAGGAUGUUGGCUUAGAAGCAGCCAUCAUUUAAAGAAAGCGUAAUAGCUCACUGGUCGAGUCGGCCUGCGCGGAAGAUGUAACGGGGCUAAACCAUGCACCGAAGCUGCGGCAGCGAACGUAUCACCCAAGACAACUUUACGGAGUUGACGAUUGACGGAGCGAAGCGACGUCAAAGCGUUCAUUAAAGUCGAGUUGGCUUAGGGAUACGUUCGUUGGGUAGGGGAGCGUUCUGUAAGCCUGUGAAGGUGUGUCGUGAGGCAUGCUGGAGGUAUCAGAAGUGCGAAUGCUGACAUAAGUAACGAUAAAGCGGGUGAAAAGCCCGCUCGCCGGAAGACCAAGGGUUCCUGUCCAACGUUAAUCGGGGCAGGGUGAGUCGACCCCUAAGGCGAGGCCGAAAGGCGUAGUCGAUGGGAAACGGGUUAAUAUUCCCGUACUUGGUGUUACUGCGAAGGGGGGACGGAGAAGGCUAUGUUGGCCGGGCGACGGUUGUCCCGGUUUAAGCGUGUAGGUGUGUGUUCCAGGUAAAUCCGGUUCACUUUAACACUGAGGCGUGACGACGAGGCACUACGGUGCUGAAGCAACAAAUGCCCUGCUUCCAGGAAAA
rnacentral:rRNA from 1 species